ACGCUCGACACCUACGGGAGGCNGCAGUGGGGGAUAUUGCACAAUGGGGGAAACCCUGAUGCAGCAACGCCGCGUGAGGGAAGAAGGUUUUCGGAUUGUAAACCUCUGUCCUUGGUGACGAUAAUGACGGUAGCCAAGGAGGAAGCUCCGGCUAACUACGUGCUAGCAGCCGCGGUAAUCUGAGCGGGCUGGCAAGGC
rnacentral:rRNA from 1 species